GAAAAAAAGAAAAAAGAAAUAGACCUAUCCCCUUCGGCCCCAAAAGAAAAAAUUUCUCUCCCCAACCCCAUGCAUUUGGCUUCCGGCGAGGCCCACGCCCACGCCGACCCAUUGCACCAGAUCGGAGCCGACGUCCACCAUCCGGUGCUUCUCUCCCCACGCUCCUCUCUCUCUCGGUGACACCCACUAAACGACACGACAUAAUAUGAAAUGGAGCAUGCCCAAAGACCCCAAAGACCUUAAUGCAGCUGCAUGGAGAGAUCAUAUAUGUGGAUGAAGUCAUGAUAAAGAUAAAAGGCAAUUUUGGAUUGUGUAGAAGAUGCUGUUUAAUGACUUCUGUUAGUGUUCUUCAAAAGUAUAGUUUUAGAUUGGAGUACUUGUGAUCCAGUUUUUACUGGAGUAUUUAUUGUAAUUGUUUUGUUUUGUUAUAAAAGAUAGAAUUGACAAAAUAGCCUGCACAUUCUCCUUAAUAAUGAUGCCAUCCUUUUAAGAGGACGAGAAAAAGCUCAA